rnacentral:rRNA from 1 species
AGUGAACGCUGGCGGUAGGCCUAACACAUGCAAGUCGAACGACAGCACAGUAAGAGCUUGCUCUUACGGGUGGCGAGUGGCGGACGGGUGAGGAAUACAUCGGAAUCUACUUUUUCGUGGGGGAUAACGUAGGGAAACUUACGCUAAUACCGCAUACGACCUACGGGUGAAAGCAGGGGAUCUUCGGACCUUGCGCGAUUGAAUGAGCCGAUGUCGGAUUAGCUAGUUGGCGGGGUAAAGGCCCACCAAGGCGACGAUCCGUAGCUGGUCUGAGAGGAUGAUCAGCCACACUGGAACUGAGACACGGUCCAGACUCCUACGGGAGGCAGCAGUGGGGAAUAUUGGACAAUGGGCGCAAGCCUGAUCCAGCCAUACCGCGUGGGUGAAGAAGGCCUUCGGGUUGUAAAGCCCUUUUGUUGGGAAGGAAAAGCAGCAGGUUAAUACCCCGCUGUUCUGACGGUACCCGAAGAAUAAGCACCGGCUAACUUCGUG